rnacentral:lncRNA from 1 species
UACGUUGUUUAAUAAAUGUUAACAGCAUUUACUGUUUUGUAAAAGUGUAAAGCAAAGUCCUUAGGCAAGAAUCAAGAGGCUCUUGUGUGGGAAGGUCUUGGCCGUUUAACCAGUGAUGGGAGGCGCAGGGCUUUGGUGACAUGGCGGGAGUCCAGGGGCCUCAAACUGGCAAAUCAGAGCAAACAACGGUGCAUCCAAGAGUGGUUUCAUCUACCUGGCUGAACAGAUCUCCUCCAACAGAAGGAUGUCCACAGGCACUAUCUGGAAGGUUUUUGUGGAGCUGAGGAUGGUCACGAUCGCUGAGAGGAUGCAGCCCAGUGGAUGUGCCACACGCCCCGUUCCAAAGAGGCAGCAUUGCACAGUGGGGAAGUCUUGGCUUCAGGAGUUCACAUCUAUCAUCAAAUACUCUACCACCUACUCUCAGUGUGGCCUUGGGCCAGUCCCCUAACUUUUCUUAGUAGUAGUUUUCUCAUCUGUGAAGCAGGAAUAAUAAUCAAGUCUAUCUCAUCGGGUUAUUCAGAGGAUUCAUUGAAAUGAUGUAAGCAAAGAAUUCCAUUUGGCACACAGUAAAUGGCCUAUUAUCAUUGGAGCCUGUCCUAUUCUGGUGACCUAAGCUGGCUCUUUGAGGUGUUCACUCCAGGCCCCCACCCUGGCCUGACCUGGUUUUCCAGAGGCUCAAAGAAGUAGGGAGGUCCCCAAAGCCACACAAAAUACCUCAUGGGUAGAGAAGGAGCUGCCCAGGUAGGUGACUGGAGGGAGCUGACAGUGAAGCAGGAGGAAGACCAGGGGCCAGCGGCGUCUUGAAGGCCCAGGGAGGGUAGAUUUGGUGAGAGAAGAGUGAUCGCCAGUGUCACGGGCUAGAGAGAGGGGAGACGUGCCAUGCAGCGGGAGCAGAAGAGCACCCCUGAACCCGGGAGGGGUGGUGUGAUGGGAGGUGGGAGGCCUGGGGGCUGGCCUCCCUGCUCUGAGGUCUUGGAGAAGUCCGUUGACCUCUCUGUCUUGGCCUUCCUAACUGUUAUGGUUAAAUGAUUUAUUCUUUUAAGUUUCUUGUAGGUUUAAGAGAUUCUAUGAUUAAAGAGUUGACUUUAAAUUGGAAAUUCAGUCUCAAUUCAACAGGCAUCUAUUAAGCACCCAGAAAACAAGACUCUGGCUGUGUUUAGGGCACCUUGGGGAGCAUGCACCUGGGUGAAAUCCUGGGUUUGUCACCCACUAUAGUUUGAUCUUUGAUGGACCUUUCAUUUUUCUUGAUCCUCAGUUUCCCCAUGUGUUCU